rnacentral:rRNA from 1 species
GGAAUAUUGGACAAUGGGCGCAAGCCUGAUCCAGCCAUGCCGCGUGUGUGAAGAAGGCCUUCGGGUUGUAAAGCACUUUUGUACGGGGAGAAAAGCACUCGGUUAAUACCCGGGUGUCAUGACGGUACCGUAAGAAUAAGCACCGGCUAACUUCGUGCCAGCAGCCGCGGUAAUACGAAGGGUGCAAGCGUUACUCGGAAUUACUGGGCGUAAAGCGUGCGUAGGUGGUUUGUUAAGUCAGAUGUGAAAUCCCCGGGCUCAACCUGGGAACUGCGUUUGAAACUGGGAGGCUAGAGUGCGGCAGAGGGGGGUGGAAUUCCACGUGUAGCAGUGAAAUGCGUAGAUAUGUGGAGGAACACCGAUGGCGAAGGCAGCCCCCUGGGCCAGCACUGACGCUCAUGCACGAAAGCGUGGGGAGCAAA